rnacentral:RNase_P_RNA from 1 species
CCACUUGGGUGGGCGGCCGCUGGCGGUUCGAGAGGGCCGCGGGAGGAAAGUCCGAGCUCCAAAGGGCAGGCUGCUGGCUAACGGCCAGUCGACGUGAGUUGCAGGAAAGUGCAACAGAAAGCACACCGCCCCUCAGCCGACGCAUGAAGCUCUCUCGUUUGGGAGGCGCGUCGAGGACGGGGUAAGGGCGAACCGGUGCGGUCAGAGCGCACCGCGUGCGAGGUGACUCGCAUGGCACGGCAAACCCCAGCCGGAGCAAGGCCAAAUAGGGACUCCGCCUUGGAGACGAGGCAUCGGACGGCCCGUCCGUCGAGUCCGGGUAAGGCUGCUCGAGCGCCGUGGCAACGCGGCGCCUAGACGAAUGGUCGCCGUCGCGGGCAACCGCGAGACAGAACUCGGCUUACAGCCCAAGUGGCGGC